GCCCGGCACAAGCUCAGUCGGUAGAGCACGAGACUCUUAAUCUCGGGGUCGGUUCCGGAAGCCCCACGUUGGGCG